rnacentral:misc_RNA from 1 species
GCACUCUCACAUCUAACCUUUGGGUUCUAUUGUGGAAUUGGGAUGCGCCGAUUUUUACUAGUCGGCACUCCUAAAAUGUAGCUCUUGGCUGUUUCCUACUACAGCAGUUUGGCCUAAUAGUUUUGACUUUUGUCAAAUCUUUGGCUACAUUUGCUUUUGGAAAUCAGUCUUGAUAAUACAGAAAACUCAUUCAAA